rnacentral:lncRNA from 1 species
UUCCUCUGCCUUCAUCAGAGAGGAGGAGCCCAUUCCCCUCCCUGCGUCCAGUCAGGGCCGGUGGCUAAGCUAAGAGCCCAGCUCCGAGCCCAGAGCGACCAGCUCAGCAUGGCGCUAACUCAGCUUCUGCCUCUCCUGGCCUCUCUCCAUAUGCUCCCCAGGCCGGUGUCCCCAGAAGGAGGGAGAGUGGGGGAUCUUCGGGUGCCCCAGGUGGAUUAAGGACCCUCCCAUGCUCAUCAUCCCCCACCCGCUCCCCCAGGAUGGACACAGAGGGGGUCCUGGUGCUCCCCAGGCACAUGAAGAACCCUUC